rnacentral:rRNA from 1 species
AUUGAACGCUGGCGGCAUGCUUUACACAUGCAAGUCGAACGGCAGCACGGGUGCUUGCACCUGGUGGCGAGUGGCGAACGGGUGAGUAAUGCAUCGGAACGUGCCCAUGAGUGGGGGAUAGCCCGGCGAAAGCCGGAUUAAUACCGCAUACGCCCUUAGGGGGAAAGCGGGGGAUCUUCGGACCUCGCGCUAUUGGAGCGGCCGAUGUCGGAUUAGCUAGUAGGUGAGGUAAAGGCUCACCUAGGCGACGAUCCGUAGCUGGUCUGAGAGGAUGAUCAGCCACACUGGGACUGAGACACGGCCCAGACUCCUACGGGAGGCAGCAGUGGGGAAUUUUGGACAAUGGGCGCAAGCCUGAUCCAGCCAUGCCGCGUGAGUGAAGAAGGCCUCGGGUUGUAAGACGUCUUUC